UGUUAUGAAUGGCAGGAGAGAAACAAGAACGCCAGACUCUUUGUUGUUUAUAAGUGCCAUUUUUUUGCAUAAUGUCAACUGCUGUUAACAAAUAUGACGUCCUAAAAUCCAAUGAUGACUCUGGGGAAGAAGAUAGUGGAAGCCGAGAUAUGAAAGACAAACCACUGCCACAAGUGGAGGUAAAACCAGGCGAGCACCCUCUUCAGUACACAUAUUCUCUUUGGUUCAGCAGAAGGGCACCAGGCAAACAGGCAACAACACAAAACUACGACCAAAAUCUUCAAUUAUUAGCCAGGUUUGCCUCAGUGGAACAAUUCUGGGGAUAUUACAGCCGCUGUUUGCGGCCAGUCGAUCUUCCUUCACACUCCGAUAUACAUAUUUUUAAAGAUGGAAUCAAACCCAUGUGGGAGGAUUCGGCUAAUAAAAAUGGUGGGAAAUGGAUUGUACGUUUAAGGAAAGGACUUGCUUCGCGUUGCUGGGAAAAUAUGAUCUUGGCAAUGCUUGGUGAGCAGUUUAUGGUUGGUGAUGAAAUCUGUGGAGCUGUUAUAUCUGUACGCUUUCAGGAGGACAUAAUAUCUGUCUGGAACCGCACAGCGCAAGACUCUAUCACCACAGGAAAGAUCCGGGACACCCUAAAGCGUGUUCUUAACCUACCUCCUACUACUGUUAUGGAAUACAAGACCCAUAACGACUCUCUCAAGCACACCCACUCCGCGUCAAGCCUACUACGCAAACCCGGCCUACCCAUGAGGCAUGACCUCCUUCACUGACGUCUCUCUUCUUUUGCUCCCCUCUCCCCUCCUCUUCCUGGCAGGGGGGGGGAGGGUGGGGAGAGAGAGAGAGAGAGAGCCUGAGACAUCACCCAUUCUCUGUGCAUCUACAGGUGUGAGUGUGAAGAUAUGCCCAUGCCAUGUUUCUACUACCGCUAUGAUCAUAUUUGCAGUGUACAGUACAACCCCUCUAAUUGGAAAUAAUUAGUGGGAACGUGAUAGAGAUUUGGGAAAUCUACAGAGUAAAUGGACGUGAUGCUGUUGUGACUCCUUAAAGAAGUGAGGAAGAUUGUGUUCAUAUCCAUGCCAUGUGUAUAGUAGGUGCAUAUCCAAUACAAAUUUAUUUUAAU
rnacentral:misc_RNA from 1 species